UUCCUUUUUGUUUUUGAACUUCAUCGAAGAUUGAAACUUUUUUGUUUUUCGUUGUUUUGUUUUGUUGGUCGCUGCCAGAUUCCAGACUAUUCUGAUUGAUUUGAUAUAGGAGUCUCUUACUGGAAAGGGUGGAGGAAAAAUGGGAUGCUGAUGGAUGUUGUAUUCGGAAGUUUCAUGUGUCUAUCUACCUUUCUGCUUGCUACGAGGGCUCUUUUCAGCACAUUCCCUAGAUCACUCGGGUACAAAGACCUUGCACUACUUAUUUACUUCAAGAUGUUUCUAAUUGCAAUGAUGGUCUGGGAAUGUCCUAUGAUUGUGAUCAUUGAUUUAUUUGUGUUAUCCUCCCACACAGUGGCACUCAAAGUUCAUGGCUUGGAUGACUCUGGUGGGGUGAUGAAGGUAGUAGCUACCAAAAUUUUACUUGAUGAAAAUAUGAAGGAAAAUGCUUAUGACCCGUACGCAUAAUGAGGCUGAGCUUCAAAUUGACUGGAAGUAUACUCCAAUCCCCGGCUUAGAACGAUACCCUACUUACUCUUUAGUACAAUUCGAUGCAGGGUUUAAAUUGACACUCACUUUGAGCGUAUCAAAAGUUCAGCAACGAAUAAAUAAACAAGGAUUAUUUUAAUAAGAAAAUAAGAACUUGCUCUAUGUCUUAGCCCAACAAAAAGUUUUACUGCCCCAUUUCUUUCCGGUGGAUUUUUAUGUUUUGCAUUCUAAGCAAUCAAAUAGAAUGACAAUAUCAAAUAAUGAACGCAUAGCAGAUAAUUUUUAUAUAGUAAACACUCAUCAAACAAUGACAUGGAGCUAAACUUGGAUAUAAACUUUUCUCUAUGUCUUAAUUAAUGUUUCAUUAAUUAAGUGAUUUUUAUUCAAUGCAGGGAUGAGUAUGAGCAGCUGAUACAACAUCCAUUCAACCAGUACAGACAAGAAAAAAUGCUAUUCAUCUACCAUUUAUGGUUAGCAAUGAAAGAAGACAGGGAUUGGAAAAAUAUAUUCAAUACAGCAGUAGGCAAUCUGACAAUGUAUCACUACAUUAAGGUCCGAAUGGCAAAACUGUCAGAGAAAGUAAAGGCAGCAUUCCAGAGAACAUUCAAAAAAAAAAAAACUUCUAUCAAAACAGUGCAGCGGGAAUGCUAGAGUUUGCAAAAAAUUUGCUGCAUCACUAUAACGACAAGUGCAUAGAGAAGGAAAAACUGUUGUUUAUGAGCUUGAAGAAGCCAUCACAUCAACUUUUCCGGAGUUGCCUCUACUGAUAUUUAACUACUGCCUCAUGAACAAGAAUGCUGUCAAAGACCUAAUAAUACCCUACGACAUAAUUGAAGACAACAAUGACAAGAAUUACAGGCUUUGUGACGGUUGCGGACAAUGUUACACCGACCCUGGGCUUUGGGAGACUGUAAGAAACUCUAGGCCUAGAGUGGUCAUCGGUGGAAGAGGGAACCAGCGAAGGGAGAAGGGGAAACCAGAGAGGGGGAGGGGGGAA